CAUCCCGCCCCGCCGCUUGAUCGUGAAACUGAAAACUCAGCACGGAUGCCAAAAUCUGUGAAGGAACUGUUCCAUAUCACAGCCCCAGGCCUGCUCUCCUUCCAGCCACUCAUCACACAUACAAGAAGAAUCCAUCCAUCAUCUCACGAGUAAUCAGGAGGAGUAUCUUUAACACCAGUCCCUUAUGGAGAGUGUGAAGAGGAAUGCACAGCCUCAGAUUGCAGCAGCAUUUCUGCUGCUCUCCCUGUAAAAUUAGAGCUACCAGGAAUCUUGGCAUAAGUCAAACAGAAAUGCUGGCAUGGUAAUCCUGCCGGCAAAACGUCUCAACCCCUACACUUCUGCUAAGACACUGCUGGGCACUGGACCCUGGAGGUGUAAACACCAGAGAAAGCUAUCUGGGCAGCGAGUCCUAGCAGAAGAGGAUGAAGUUCCAAAAUGCCCUUCUCAUCACACAGCAGAACAGCUGAUGGGCUCAAGUUACAGAACAGCCCAAGUCCGUCCAGCAUUUCUCCUGGGAGACUUUUGCAUAAUCUGAUAUAGUGCCACUUAUAUGGAACCCACAAAGAAAAAGAGAGCUAAGCACUGGACCAUCUGCCGAAUUCCCCACAGGAACCUGGCUUUGAGAAACAGUAAGCACAGGCACAAGCAUUAGAAAUCAUUUAAAAUAAUUAUUCAUAGGCCCUGUAAUAA